UGCUGGAAUGAAUGGUUGGACGAAAUAUAAACUGUUUCAAUUUUAUUUAGAAUAGAAUUUUAUUUUUUAGUAAAAAAGCUAAAAUUUAAUUAAAAGACGAGAAGACCCUAUAAAUCUUUAUAAUUAAAUUAUUUCUAUUGUGAGGAUGAUUUUUGUAUUAAUAGUUUUAAUUAUUUUAUUGGGGUGAUAUUAAAAUUUAAUAAACUUUUAAUUUUUUAUAACAUUGAUUUAUGAAUAAUUGAUCCGUAAAUUGCGAUUAUAAGAUUAAGUUACUUUAGGGAUAACAGCGUAAUUUUUUUGGAGAGUUCAUAUCGAUAAAAAAGAUUGCGACCUCGAUGUUGGAUUAAGAUAUAAUUUUGGGUGCAGCAAUUCAAAUUUUAAGUCUGUUCGACUUUUAAAUUCUUACAUGAUCUGAGUUCAAACCGGCGUGAGCCAGGUUGGUUUCUAUCUUUAAUUACUUAAGAUAUUUUAGUACGAAAGGAUUAAAUAUCUGAAUAAUUAUUUUAUUUAUUGAAUAUCAUUAAUACUAUUUU
rnacentral:rRNA from 1 species